rnacentral:rRNA from 1 species
GCUUAACACAUGCAAGUCGAACGAAGCACUUUAACCUGAUUCUUCGGAUGAAGGUUUUUGUGACUGAGUGGCGGACGGGUGAGUAACGCGUGGGUAACCUGCCUCAUACAGGGGGAUAACAGUUAGAAAUGACUGCUAAUACCGCAUAAGACCACGGAGCCGCAUGGCUCAGUGGGAAAAACUCCGGUGGUAUGAGAUGGACCCGCGUCUGAUUAGGUAGUUGGUGGGGUAACGGCCUACCAAGCCAACGAUCAGUAGCCGACCUGAGAGGGUGACCGGCCACAUUGGGACUGAGACACGGCCCAAACUCCUACGGGAGGCAGCAGUGGGGAAUAUUGCACAAUGGGGGAAACCCUGAUGCAGCGACGCCGCGUGAGCGAAGAAGUAUUUCGGUAUGUAAAGCUCUAUCAGCAGGGAAGAAAAUGACGGUACCUGACUAAGAAGCACCGGCUAAAUACGUGCCAGCAGCCGCGGUAAUACGUAUGGUGCAAGCGUUAUCCGGAUUUACUGGGUGUAAAGGGAGCGUAGACGGCUGUGUAAGUCUGAAGUGAAAGCCCGGGGCUCAACCCCGGGACUGCUUUGGAAACUAUGCAGCUAGAGUGUCGGAGAGGUAAGUGGAAUUCCCAGUGUAGCGGUGAAAUGCGUAGAUAUUGGGAGGAACACCAGUGGCGAAGGCGGCUUACUGGACGAUGACUGACGUUGAGG